rnacentral:rRNA from 1 species
CGGGAAGAGCCCAAACCAACAAGCUUGCUUGUUGGGGUUGUAGGACACUCUAUACGGAGUUACAAAGGACGACAUUAGACGAAUCAUCUGGAAAGAUGAAUCAAAGAAGGUAAUAAUCCUGUAGUCGAAAAUGUUGUCUCUCUUGAGUGGAUCCUGAGUACGACGGAGCACGUGAAAUUCCGUCGGAAUCUGGGAGGACCAUCUCCUAAGGCUAAAUACUCUCUAGUGACCGAUAGUGAACCAGUACCGUGAGGGAAAGGUGAAAAGCACCCCGGAAGGGGAGUGAAAUAGAACCUGAAACCGUGUGCUUACAAGUAGUCAGAGCCCGUUAAUGGGUGAUGGCGUGCCUUUUGUAGAAUGAACCGGCGAGUUACGAUUUGAUGCAAGGUUAAGCAGUAAAUGUGGAGCCGUAGCGAAAGCGAGUCUGAAUAGGGCGUUUAGUAUUUGGUCGUAGACCCGAAACCAGGUGAUCUACCCUUGGUCAGGUUGAAGUUCAGGUAACACUGAAUGGAGGACCGAACCGACUUACGUUGAAAAGUGAGCGGAUGAACUGAGGGUAGCGGAGAAAUUCCAAUCGAACCUGGAGAUAGCUGGUUCUCUCCGAAAUAGCUUUAGGGCUAGCCUCAAGUGAUGAUUAUUGGAGGUAGAGCACUGUUUGGACGAGGGGCCCCUCUCGGGUUACCGAAUUCAGACAAACUCCGAAUGCCAAUUAAUUUAACUUGGGAGUCAGAACAUGGGUGAUAAGGUCCGUGUUCGAAAGGGAAACAGCCCAGACCACCAGCUAAGGUCCCAAAAUAUAUGUUAAGUGGAAAAGGAUGUGGCGUUGCCCAGACAACUAGGAUGUUGGCUUAGAAGCAGCCAUCAUUUAAAGAGUGCGUAAUAGCUCACUAGUCGAGUGACACUGCGCCGAAAAUGUACCGGGGCUAAACAUAUUACCGAAGCUGUGGAUUGUCCUUUGGACAAUGGUAGGAGAGCGUUCUAAGGGCGUUGAAGCAUGAUCGUAAGGACAUGUGGAGCGCUUAGAAGUGAGAAUGCCGGUGUGAGUAGCGAAAGACGGGUGAGAAUCCCGUCCACCGAUUGACUAAGGUUUCCAGAGGAAGGCUCGUCCGCUCUGGGUUAGUCGGGUCCUAAGCUGAGGCCGACAGGCGUAGGCGAUGGAUAACAGGUUGAUAUUCCUGUACCACCUAUAAUCGUUUUAAUCGAUGGGGGGACGCAGUAGGAUAGGCGAAGCGUGCGAUUGGAUUGCACGUCUAAGCAGUAAGGCUGAGUAUUAGGCAAAUCCGGUACUCGUUAAGGCUGAGCUGUGAUGGGGAGAAGACAUUGUGUCUUCGAGUCGUUGAUUUCACACUGCCGAGAAAAGCCUCUAGAUAGAAAAUAGGUGCCCGUACCGCAAACCGACACAGGUAGUCAAGAUGAGAAUUCUAAGGUGAGCGAGCGAACUCUCGUUAAGGAACUCGGCAAAAUGACCCCGUAACUUCGGGAGAAGGGGUGCUCUUUAGGGUUAACGCCCAGAAGAGCCGCAGUGAAUAGGCCCAAGCGACUGUUUAUCAAAAACACAGGUCUCUGCUAAACCGUAAGGUGAUGUAUAGGGGCUGACGCCUGCCCGGUGCUGGAAGGUUAAGAGGAGUGGUUAGCUUCUGCGAAGCUACGAAUCGAAGCCCCAGUAAACGGCGGCCGUAACUAUAACGGUCCUAAGGUAGCGAAAUUCCUUGUCGGGUAAGUUCCGACCCGCACGAAAGGCGUAACGAUUUGGGCACUGUCUCAACGAGAGACUCGGUGAAAUCAUAGUACCUGUGAAGAUGCAGGUUACCCGCGACAGGACGGAAAGACCCCGUGGAGCUUUACUGUAGCCUGAUAUUGAAAUUCGGCACAGCUUGUACAGGAUAGGUAGGAGCCUUUGAAACGUGAGCGCUAGCUUACGUGGAGGCGCUGGUGGGAUACUACCCUAGCUGUGUUGGCUUUCUAACCCGCACCACUUAUCGUGGUGGGAGACAGUGUCAGGCGGGCAGUUUGACUGGGGCGGUCGCCUCCUAAAAGGUAACGGAGGCGCUCAAAGGUUCCCUCAGAAUGGUUGGAAAUCAUUCAUAGAGUGUAAAGGCAUAAGGGAGCUUGACUGCGAGACCUACAAGUCGAGCAGGGUCGAAAGACGGACUUAGUGAUCCGGUGGUUCCGCAUGGAAGGGCCAUCGCUCAACGGAUAAAAGCUACCCCGGGGAUAACAGGCUUAUC